rnacentral:rRNA from 1 species
UACGGGGGGAGCAAGCGUUGUUCGGAUUUACUGGGCGUAAAGGGCGCGUAGGCGGCCUGUGCAAGUCAGUUGUGAAAUCUCCGAGCUUAACUCGGAACGGUCAACUGAUACUGCUCGGCUAGAGUGCGGAAGGGGCAACUGGAAUUCUUGGUGUAGCGGUGAAAUGCGUAGAUAUCAAGAGGAACACCUGCGGCGAAGGCGGGUUGCUGGGCCGACACUGACGCUGAUGCGCGAAAGCUAGGGGAGCGAACAGG